GGAUAGAGGCGCGGGAUUCAUCAGUAACCUUCGGCAAGGCCAGGCAGCCGCCGGAGGAGAAAGGGGAUUCCGCCGAAGCGUCGGGACCGCCUGACUUCUGACGCUGGGCUGGGGGAGAACAUCCUUCAGACUGUCACAGUUUUGUGAAGCGCUAUCG
rnacentral:ncRNA from 1 species